UACGUAGGGGGCAAGCGUUGUCCGGAUUUACUGAGCGUAAAGAGCGUGUAGGCGGCCAAACAGGUCCGUUGUGAAAACUGGAGGCUUAACCUCCAGACGUCGACGGAAACCGUGUGGCUAGAGUCCGGAAGAGGAGAGUGGAAUUCCUGGUGUAGCGGUGAAAUGCGCAGAUAUCAGGAAGAACACCAAUGGCGAAGGCAGCUCUCUGGGACGGUACUGACGCUGAGACGCGAAAGCGUGGGGAGCGAACAGG
rnacentral:rRNA from 1 species